UACGUAGGGCGCGAGCGUUGUCCGGAAUUAUUGGGCGUAAAGAGCUCGUAGGCGGCUUGUCACGUCGGGUGUGAAAGCCCGGGGCUUAACCCCGGGUCUGCAUUCGAUACGGGCUAGCUAGAGUGUGGUAGGGGAGAUCGGAAUUCCUGGUGUAGCGGUGAAAUGCGCAGAUAUCAGGAGGAACACCGGUGGCGAAGGCGGAUCUCUGGGCCAUUACUGACGCUGAGAAGCGAAAGCAUGGGGAGCGAACAGG
rnacentral:rRNA from 1 species